rnacentral:rRNA from 1 species
UACGGAGGGGGCGAGCGUUAUUCGGAAUUAUUGGGCGUAAAGGGCGCGUAGGCGGCUGUACAAGUCAAAGGUGAAAUCCCUCGGCUCAACUGAGGAACUGCCUUUGAAACUGUACGGCUUGAGGCCGGGAGGGGGUGCGGAAUUCCCAGUGUAGCGGUGAAAUGCGUAGAUACUGGGAGGAACACCAGUGGCGAAGGCGGCUACCUGGACCGGUUCUGACGCUGAGGCGCGAAAGCGUGGGUAGCAAACAGG